GCCUCCGUAGCUCAGUUGGCCAGAGCGCCCGCCUUGUAAGCGGAUGGUCGUCGGUUCGAAUCCGACCGGAGGCU
rnacentral:tRNA from 1 species